rnacentral:rRNA from 1 species
UGUAACGGGGCUCAAGCCACGAGCCGAAGCUCAGGAUGCAUCGCAAGAUGCGUGGUAGCGGAGCGUUCUGUCUAUGUAGACCCUGCCUCUUCAGCGCCCCUCGGGGCGGUGCGGAGGUGAGGGUCUCGGCGAUGAAGCCGGCCUGUGAGGGACCGGUGGAG